rnacentral:rRNA from 1 species
UACGGAGGGGGCUAGCGUUGUUCGGAAUUACUGGGCGUAAAGCGCGCGUAGGCGGCAGAGCAAGUUGGGGGUGAAAGCCCGGAGCUCAACCCCGGAACUGCCUUUGAAACUGGAGAGCUAGAAUCUUGGAGAGGCGAGUGGAAUUCCGAGUGUAGAGGUGAAAUUCGUAGAUAUUCGGAAGAACACCAGUGGCGAAGGCGACUCGCUGGACAAGUAUUGACGCUGAGGUGCGAAAGCGUGGGGAGCAAACAGG